rnacentral:rRNA from 1 species
UCGGUGACAGGUGGUGCAUGGUUGUCGUCAGCUCGUGUCGUGAGUAUGUUGGGUUAAGUCCCGCAACGAGCGCAACCCUUGUCAUUAGUUGCCAUUCAUUUAGUUGGGCACUCUAAUGAGACUGCCGGUGACAAACCGGAGGAAGUGGGGAUGACGUCAAGUCCUCAUGGCCCUUAUGGUAGGGCUUCACACGUCAUACAAUGGUCGGUACAGAGGGUUGCCAAGCCGCGAGGUGGAGCCAAAUCCCUUAAAGCCGAUCGUAGUCCGGAUCGUAGUCUGCAACUCGACUACGUGAAGUCGGAAUCGCUAGUAAUCGCAGAUCAGCAUGCUGCGGUGAAUACGUUCCCGGGUCUU